GCAAUUAACAUAAGUUAAUUGGGUAGGGGAGCGUUCCUGCAUGGGAGAAGCCUGACCGGAAGGACAGGUGGACAGGCAGGAAGAGAGAAUGCCGGUAUGAGUAGCGAAAAGAAGGGUGAGAAUCCCUUCCACCGAAAGCCUAAGGGUUCCUGGGCAACGAUCGUCGUCCCAGGGUAAGUCGGGACCUAAUCCGAGGCGGAGACGCGUAGGAGAUGGACAACAGGUUGAAAUUCCUGUACUGGCUGAGGCCGUUUGAGCGAAGGAGUGACACAGGAAGGAAGGCGCGCGUGCGAUUGGAAGAGCACGUCCAAGCAGGUAGGUCGGGAGACAGGCAAAUCCGUUUCCCAUAAGGCCGAGAUGCGAUGGGGAGCUUCUGGAGACAGAAGCGAAGGGGCUGGCACUAAACUGUCGAGAAAAGCUUCUAGUGAGGACUCAGGCACCCGUACCGAAACCGACACAGGUAGGCAGGAUGAGAAUUCUAAGGUGCGCGGGAAAACCCUCGUUAAGGAACUCGGCAAAAUAUAUCCGUAACUUCGGGAAAAGGAUAACCCAGCGUACGUGAAGUGCAGAAGCGCAUGGAGCGGAGAUGGGUGGCAGAAGAGAGGCCCAAGCGACUGUUUACCACAAACACAGGCGUCUGCUAAAGCGAAAGCUGAUGUAUAGAUGCUGACACCUGCCCGGUGCUGGAAGGUUAAGAGGAAGUGUUAGCGCAAGCGAAGCAGUGAAUUGAAGCCCCAGUAAACGGCGGCCGUAACUAUAACGGUCCUAAGGUAGCGAAAUUCCUUGUCGGGUAAGUUCCGACCCGCACGAAAGGUGUAACGAUUUGGGCACUGUCUCAACGAGGGACCCGGUGAAAUUGAAGUACCUGUGAAGAUGCAGGUUACCCGCGACUGGACAGAAAGACCCCAUGGAGCUUUACUGUAACCUGAGAUUGGAUUCCGGUAAGAGAUGUACAGGAUAGUUGGGAGGCUGAGAAGUGAGUACGCCAGUAUUCACGGAGCCGCUGGUGGGAUACCAACCUUGUUUUAUUGGAAUUCUAACGAGAAGCGUAACGAGCUUGCGGACAGUCUCAGGCGGGCAGUUUGACUGGGGCGGUCGCCUCCGAAAGAGUAACGGAGGCGCCCAAAGGUUCCCUCAGCGCGGACGGAAACCGCGCGAAGAGUGCAAAGGCAGAAGGGAGCUUGACUGCGAGACGGACAGGUCGAGCAGGGACGAAAGUCGGGCUUAGUGAUCCGGUGGUAGAGAGUGGAAUUGCCAUCGCUCAACGGAUAAAAGCUACCCUGGGGAUAACAGGCUUAUCUCUCCCAAGAGUCCAUAUCGACGGGGAGGUUUGGCACCUCGAUGUCGGCUCAUCACAUCCUGGGGCUGAAGUAGGUCCCAAGGGUUGGGCUGUUCGCCCAUUAAAGUGGUACGCGAGCUGGGUUCAGAACGUCGUGAGACAGUUCGGUCCCUAUCCAUCGCGGGCGUAAGAAACUUGAAAGGGGCUGCUCCUAGUACGAGAGGACCGGAGUGGACCGACCAAUGGUGUACCAGUCAUGGCGCCAGCCGUGCAGCUGGGUAGCUACGUCGGGGACGGAUAAACGCUGAAAGCAUCUAAGCGUGAAACCAGCCUAGAGAUGAGGUUUCUCAUUGU
rnacentral:rRNA from 1 species